rnacentral:rRNA from 1 species
AGUGAACGCUGGCGGUAGGCCUAACACAUGCAAGUCGAACGGCAGCACAGUAAGAGCUUGCUCUUACGGGUGGCGAGUGGAGGACGGGUGAGGAAUACAUCGGAAUCUACUUUUUCGUUGGGGAUAACGUAGGGAAACUUACGCUAAUACCGCAUACGACCUACGGGUGAAAGCAGGGGAUCUUCGGACCUUGCGCGAUUGAAUGAGCCGAUGUCGGAUUAGCUAGUUGGCGGGGUAAAGGCCCACCAAGGCGACGAUCCGUAGCUGGUCUGAGAGGAUGAUCAGCCACACUGGAACUGAGACACGGCCCAGACUCCUACGGGAGGCAGCAGUGGGGAAUAUUGGACAAUGGGCGAAAGCCUGAUCCAGCCAUACCGCGUGAGUGAAGAAGGCCUUCGGGUUGUAAAGCCCUUUUGUUGGGAAAGAAAAGCAGCAGGUUAAUACCCCGCUGUUCUGACGGUACCCAAAGAAUAAGCACCGGCUAACUUCGUG